UGCCCCUCCACCCCGUGACCGUCCUGCCCCUCCGCCCCGUGACCGUCCUACCUUUCCACCACAUGCCCAUCCUACCCCUCCACCCCGUGCCCGUCCUGCCUCAGUUUCCUCUGCUGUUCAGUCUCCUGAUACAUUUGUAUUGCCUGCCUCUGAAUCUGCUGCCUCCGAAGCACCUGAAAACUUAGACCAAAAGUCUUUGGUUGUGAAAGGUCAGAUACCUCAGCAAUCUCCACAGACCAAACCCCAGGCUACUGAAGAAAUAACUGAGCUAGAUAUCUAAAUCAAAGCAUCUCCUAUGAAAAUUUAUGACAAUCCACCAACUGCAUUUGAUGAUAAUAAAAUCCAGAGCUUCGCUCCCAUGCUUUGUCUUUCCAGCUUUCAUAACUUCUUCCUAAUCAGGGAUCAAAGGAGAACUGCGACUUUCUUCUGAGAAGGACUCCAGCAAUCAUAUAUUUCUUUCUGUUGGUUUUGGGGCAUUCUCUCUUAAUUGUGAAUUGUGAUUAUUCUGCAAGAAUAAACAUUUACAAAUAAAUUUGU